UACGAAGGGGGCUAGCGUUGCUCGGAAUCACUGGGCGUAAAGCGCACGUAGGCGGACUCUUAAGUCGGUGGUGAAAUCCUGGAGCUCAACUCCAGAACUGCCUUCGAUACUGAGAGUCUCGAGUCCGGGAGAGGUGAGUGGAACUGCGGAGUGUAAGAGGUGAAAUUCGUAGAUAUUCGCAAGAACACCAGUGGCGAAGGCGGCUCACUGGCCCGGUACUGACGCUGAGGUGCGAAAGCGUGGGGAGCAAACAGG
rnacentral:rRNA from 1 species